UUAUGAUUUGUUUUAUUUUUUUAUUCCUACAGGUCAGCAUGUGCUCGAGUGAUGGGAUGGACAAAGAGUUGGCAUCAUCUAAAUCUCUGGUUGUGACCAUCCUGGAUGUGAUGUAUGCUGAAGCUGGGGCGAAGCUAAGGUUGUUCGAUGAUUAGCCAGUGGUUGGCAAUUGUACAUGUUGGUAUGACUACCACGGUGAGAUCAGUUUGUUGGCUCUGCUCUAAAUUGCUGCAAUUUUAGUUUAUUCCAGUUUCCCUUUCCUUAACAACUCUAAGAUCCAACUCUACUACAAUCAUCAGUCCACUCAUUCAGAUAAUAUACACUGCUCCUUACUUUCAAGGCAACCUGCAAC
rnacentral:lncRNA from 1 species